rnacentral:lncRNA from 1 species
CCAUACAAAGAAUUGGUCAACCUAACCACUACAUCGACCAGGAAGCUAAGUGAUUCUAAAACCAAGUACAAAUUCCCCGCCCAUACAAGGAAUCAUACAACUCAGCUGCCGACAUGAGUCCUCAAUUGAAAUCCCCACCUAAUCUUAACACCCUUCUCAAUACGAAUUUCAUUUAAUCCGUAUUCAUAAUCCAUAACUCUUUCAUGAGCUUUUCAUAGUACAAUUUACAGACAACAUCUUGCUGUAACUUUUAAAUCAUUCGCUUGAUCCUUCUCCAUACUAUAACCUUAUCAGAUCACGGGGUGAUCUCAUCGUAUAUAUUACGAUUCAAU